AGAGUUGAUCAUGGCUCAGGAUGAACGCUAGCUACAGGCUUAACACAUGCAAGUCGAGGGGAAACGACAUCGAAAGCUUGCUUUUGAUGGGCGUCGACCGGCGCACGGGUGAGUAACGCGUAUCCAACCUGCCCACCACUUGGGGAUAACCUUGCGAAAGUAAGACUAAUACCCAAUGAUAUCUCUAGAAGACAUCUGAAAGAGAUUAAAGAUUUAUCGGUGAGUGGAUGGGAUGCGUCUGAUUAGCUUGUUGCGGGGUAACGGCCCACCAAGGCAACGAUCAGUAGGGGUUCUGAGAGGAAGGUCCCCCACAUUGGAACUGAGACACGGUCCAAACUCCUACGGGAGGCAGCA
rnacentral:rRNA from 1 species